rnacentral:rRNA from 1 species
GAUGAACGCUGGCGGCGUGCCUAAUACAUGCAAGUCGAGCGAACAGACGAGGAGCUUGCUCCUCUGACGUUAGCGGCGGACGGGUGAGUAACACGUGGAUAACCUACCUAUAAGACUGGGAUAACUUCGGGAAACCGGAGCUAAUACCGGAUAAUAUAUUGAACCGCAUGGUUCAAUAGUGAAAGACGGUUUUGCUGUCACUUAUAGGUGGAUCCGCGCCGCAUUAGCUAGUUGGUAAGGUAACGGCUUACCAAGGCGACGAUGAGUAGCCGACCUGAGAGGGUGAUCGGCCACACUGGAACUGAGACACGGUCCAGACUCCUACGGGAGGCAGCAGUAGGGAAUCUUCCGCAAUGGGCGAAAGCCUGACGGAGCAACGCCGCGUGAGUGAUGAAGGUCUUCGGAUCGUAAAACUCUGUUAUUAGGGAAGAACAAAUGUGUAAGUAACUAUGCACGUCUUGACGGUACCUAAUCAGAAAGCCACGGCUAACUACGUG